GCCUUCUAAAAAGGUACAGCCUCCACGCGGCAGAGGGUGGGCAACGGCCUGCGGGUCGGCAAAUGUAUCG
rnacentral:ribozyme from 1 species